rnacentral:rRNA from 1 species
UACAGAGGGGGCGAGCGUUGUUCGGAAUUACUGGGCGUAAAGGGCGCGUAGGCGGCCCGCUAAGUCGAACGUGAAAUCCCCAGGCUCAACCUGGGAACUGCGUCGGAUACUGGAUGGCUUGAAUUCGGGAGAGGGAUGCAGAAUUCCAGGUGUAGCGGUGAAAUGCGUAGAUAUCUGGAGGAAUACCGGUGGCGAAGGCGGCAUCCUGGACCGACAUUGACGCUGAGGAGCGAAAGCUAGGGGAGCAAACGGG